AACGUUGGGUGGGGGGUGCGCCACGGGAGUAGCCCGCACAGGCCCUGCUUGCAGAAUGUUACUUCAUAUCACUGGUCAUCUUAGCGGUAUUUAAAAGGAGCGUUUGGGGCCAUUGUGCAAGGGAGAGCAGGAAUGGACAAUACCAGGGGCGUAAAAAGAACUCACUAGACAAAGGCUCUGGCAGAAGCUGGACUGUUAGCAACAUAGAAGCAAGAAGAGCUUCUUCUACCUUGGUUAUGGUGACACCAUAUUUGUAAUGAAAAACCCAAGCACUUUCCUUACACCAUGGGGCCGAAUUAUCAAAUUGCGAGCGGACAUUGAUAAAUUUCGACAGCAUACGCUGCCGGGAUUUAUCAUUGCACAAACAUUUCUUGUGAAAUGCUUGUGCAAUGCUGACCCUGUACAUUCGCGGCUGAUAGCAGGGGGUGUCAAUCAACUCGAUCGUAUCCGAUCAAGCUGAUUGCUGUCCGCCACCUCAGAGGUGGCUGAUGAGAUAAGGAGCAGCGGUCUUAAGACCGCUGCUUCUUAACUCCUGUUUCUGGCGAGCCUAAAGGCUAGCGCGGAAACAGAUGCAUACGGAUGUCAAACAUGAUGCAAAUGGAGCUGGCGACCCACCAGGCUCUCUUUGGGGCAAUGCCACUACUGACUGUAGAGCUAGACGGGCCCCAUAGAGAUCUCAAUUGAAACCUUUGAGACCCCUGUAAUUACUCCCUUGGACACAACUGAUCAAAAUACCUACUGAACCAAAACCAAUGUCUCUCGCCACCUUCAUCCUCUGCUUCAGACACAUUGUGUAUCCGCCUCUUUAAAACAGACUCAUUUUGUUGUCUGAUCGUUUCGUAUUACAGUGAGAACAAUGGAUUCUGGAGCCCCUAGCUAUUUUAUGGAGGCAGAAAAUAACCUACACUCCCCCUUUUUCAGAAAAAAGUUGCCUACACUAGCCCUAAAUAUUGACUGUACUCCUCUUAAAUGUAUCACAUUAUCUCAUAUCAGACGGAUAUUUAAAACUUAUGUAAAAGGUACAUAUCAAUAAUAAUGUAAAAUUAAAAUAUAUUAAAUGCUGAAAUAUUAUAUAUUAAUGUAAUAAAGAAUUCAUAAUUA